CCAGCACAGACACCAGAUCAGGAUAUAAGCAGUUGGAACUGUUCUUAUUCUCAGAAAGUGUGGAUGAGGACAGAGCUCCAAUCUCUGGGACUGUGGCCUGGGUCCUAUCAUUUACUCAAGCCAGGAAACGCCCUUUCAUUAUGGCGUCUCCCUCCACAGCCAGAACUCAUUGACACAGUGUUAGCACUCCCAUCCCGCAAUUUCUUUCAGCUCUAUCCAUUUUUUAUUUGGAAACCAGAGAGUGACAUCAUGGUGAGACUGAGAAAUAAUUAUGUACUCCCAUGUCUUCAUGGUUGUCCAAAGCCAGAUAUAGUCUCAGCUGGUGUGGGUAGGCCUCGAGUGAUUGUUGGCUCCAGUGGACAAUACUACAUCUUUGCUUCACGCCUUCGCUGCAGGAUGUGCAAGAGGAUCUGGUUUGCUGCGGUUCACAAACAUUCUGCCAGCAUUCCUCACGUACAAGAAGGCCAUUUGCAAGUCUGUGCUUCAUGAGCUUAGGCGCACGGGCAAGUCAGCCUCAGACAUGGCAAACCAGGUGAAUGAGCUGAUGCACCUUAAAUAUGAACAAGCUCAUCUGGCAUACCUUUGCAGCAUACAGAAUGUCUGGGAUGCUGAGGCUGGGAUUUACGGGCAGAAAACUCUUGGUCACCUCGUGAGGAAGGAUGACACGCCACAGUCUUUUGGAGCCUAUGAUGACGCAGAGGGGUGGUGUGGAGUCUCUGUCUCUGCUCACUACUUGACUGACUGCCUUAUUGAUGAAUACCGCCGCCAAGAGCCAGCUAUCACUAAACUCCUGCAAGGCACUUUUGGACAGGUUAUGCGGUCUGACCACACCAGGAAGGUGGCACGAAAAGUAACCUUGUCAUCCGGCACCAUGUCAAGCUACGCAGUUAUGAAUGAGAGUUGGAUGAUUGCCUCCUGGGUGAUGGUGCAGUCUGAGACAGAGAAGUCCCUUGAACCCAUGUACCAGGGCUUAUCCAAGAGGUACAGUGAUGCAGGGGUGGAGAAGGCCAAUUACCACUGGGUAGACAGGGAUUGCUGUGCGCCAUUCAAAAUCCCUGACCUUCACCACGGAGAGCACCUCAAAUGGGAUGCCUGGAGGACCACACAAUCUGUCAUCACUGAGGCCACUGCUGGGACUCUGGUGAACACCUGUGCGUCCCGUACACAGUACAACCCGGACAUUGUGGUGAAAUUGGAUUUGUUUCACUGCAUGAGGCGUUUCACACGUGAGUGCACUUCAGAACACCAUCCCCUCUACAGCACCUUCUGUCAGCUCCUCUCCACUGCCUUUUCUGUUGUGGAUUUGGACGAUCUGCAGAGGCUCAAGGAUGCUUAUCAGUUUUGUGGAAUUCAGCCACCAAAUCCCACAAAACAGCACACCAGGGAUCACUGUAGGACCAAAAUUCCACAGCCGAUAGAACUGGUAGACAGAGUAGAGAAAGUUCUUUACCAUUUCCACCUGACCACAGACCCAAACAACAUGCCGCUCUUCAAACCAUCCAUGCUGAAGACAUGGCGGAUCCAGAGGGUGCACAUUCUCCGCGGGUGCCUCAGUGACCCUGAGGUCACAGGGGCAAUCCUGUACAGGUAUGGGGGAACUCUGCAGCUUAAUCAUGUCCCUGGUGAAGGUGCAAAAGUCCCCAUCUGGAUUCCAGUCAGAGGGACCUCACAGCAAGAGGGGUAUCAUUUCCACCAGUCCCAGUGGAUUACUGGAACUCAUGUGUCCUGCGAAUUGUUCCAGGCCCAGGGCAUGACAGGGGUGGCACGAUGGAACUACCAAAGGCUUCUGGACCUGAAGCAGCCUGAUGUAAUCCUCCCACCUGUGUUAGAUCCAGUACUCAUAACUGAGCUCAACGCUGCUUCAAAGAGAGUGACUGGAGAAGAGAAGUACCCUGCACUUCGCCUCUCUGAUCGGGACACUGGGGAGAGGUUUGGCCUUGAAUACAUAGAACCUGGGUGCCGUCCAGUUCCACUAGAUUGGAACAAACAUAGAGUGCAAAGGAAAGCUGACUCUUCUGUUCUUGUGCCUCUCCCCCCUGGCCCAACACCAUCCAUAAACGCAGCACCACCCAGUGCUGUGCCUGUGUUCCAGUUCCCCCAACUUGAACCUGCAGCAAUCCGUAACCAACAGAUGUUGUCCCAAGGAAGCAUGGAACCUCAAGUUAAAAUGGGCAAGUUUAUACCAAUUUCAAAGAACAAAAUUUUAAUAUCAUUGUAAAUGGUUUUUGUACUCAACAUCAACUGAUCAAAUAUGAGUAAAAUAACAAUUAACUUUAAAUUGCUUUUCUUUGUUCCAGAAACCUCAAAUAUCCCACCCCUGCCGUUGCAGUCUUCUCCAAGGAGUGCCCGCACUGGACCUAUCAAGACGGGUGGGCGAGUGUUCGUCUUGGACCACAAACGCUGGACUUCACCAAUGAAGAAAGCUAUCGACGACCUCAUAGAUAAGUAUCACGGACAGAAAGACAUGUUGAAGCUUGUGGAUCUAGACUACGCAGCUAUGGUGCAUCGGUCUGCCACAGAUCCAAACAGUCUGCUCCACCCCACAACCAAAUACCAUGUAACACAGUACAUGAAACACCUGGCUAAACAUGUGAACACAAGUUCAUCACUGAACACCAGUCCAGAAAAAAUGUUGGCGACACAAAAACUGUGGCAGAGUUUAACUGAGGAAAGUGAGACUGUCCAUGUCCCGGUUGUAGAACUGCCCCCAGCAAUUGUGAAUCCAGCAGAUCCGGUGUCACAGCCAGCACCUGAAAAGCCACUAACACAGGAGAAUGUACAGAAAAUGGUACAGGACAUAUUGCUACGUCAGCAGGACCAGCAACAACAGCAGCAGCAACAAAAACCAAGACAGACAAAAAAAUGUCUCUCGUGUGGGCAGCCAAAAUCCCGCUACCAAAAUGACGGAUCAUCAGUUCAUCACUUUUAUCAAAAAGGGCCCAUUAGAUACUUCUAUUGCUCCACAAAGGUGUUUAAAGCCUAUUGUGCAGAGGGCCUGGCAAACCCUAUAAUGACCUUUGAAGAGUUUGCACAGACUGAUUUCUUUCAGCAUGAACUUCAACUAACAAAGUGCAGAGUGGAGGACAAAGCUGAGAAGAAGAGGAAACUUCCAGACCCUCAACCUCAGGGAAGAAUGUGUCGAUUCUGUCGCACAGAGCUAAGGCAGGGCACAAACAGCUAACAUUUACACACAGGGUUUCCAGGAGUGGCAGGAAAAU
rnacentral:lncRNA from 1 species